GAGUUUGAUCAUGGCUCAGGAUGAACGCUAGCGGCAGGCUUAAUACAUGCAAGUCGAGGGGCAGCGGGUGUAGCAAUACAUGCCGGCGACCGGCGCACGGGUGCGUAACGCGUAUGCAACCUACCUUUAUCUGGAGAAUAGCCCCGAGAAAUCGGGAUUAAUACUCCAUAACAUUGCGAAAAGACAUCUUUUUGCAAUUAAAGCUCAGGCGGUUAAAGAUGGGCAUGCGUGACAUUAGUUAGUUGGUGAGGUAACGGCUCACCAAGACUUCGAUGUCUAGGGGUUCUGAGAGGAUUAUCCCCCACACUGGUACUGAGACACGGACCAGACUCCUACGGGAGGCAGCAGUAAGGAAUAUUGGGCAAUGGACGCAAGUCUGACCCAGCCAUGCCGCGUGAAGGAUGACGGCCCUAUGGGUUGUAAACUUCUUUUGUACGGGAAAAAACCCCUGAUCGUGUAUCAGGGCUGAUGGUACCGUAAGAAUAAGCAUCGGCUAACUCCGUGCCAGCAGCCGCGGUAAUACGGAGGAUGCAAGCGUUAUCCGGAUUCAUUGGGUUUAAAGGGUGCGUAGGCGGAUUGAUAAGUCAGUGGUGAAAUCCUACAGCUUAACUGUAGAACUGCCAUUGAUACUGUCGGUCUUGAGUACAUUUGAAGUGNGCGGAAUGUGUCAUGUAGCGGUGAAAUGC
rnacentral:rRNA from 1 species